AACCUGCCCUAUGAUUAUUAAAUGGCUGCGGUAUUUUGACUGUACAAAGGUAGCAUAAUCAUUAGUUUUUUAAUUGAAAACUUGUAUGAAUGGUUGAACGAGAAAAUUUCUGUCUCAAAUUUAAUUUUAUUAGAAUUUUAUUUUUAAGUUAAAAAGCUUAAAUUUCAUUAAAAGACGAGAAGACCCUAUAGAGUUUUAUAUUUAAUUAAUUGAAUUUUUAAGAAUUUUAUUAUAUUAUUUAAGUAUUUUAUUGGGGUGAUAAAUAAAUUUAAAUAACUUUAUUUAAAAUUUUACAUUUAUUUAUGAAUAAUUGAUCCAUUAAUUAUGAUUAUAAGAUUAAAUUACCUUAGGGAUAACAGCGUAAUUUUUUUAGAGAGUUCUUAUCGAUAAAAAAGAUUGCGACCUCGAUGUUGGAUUAAAAUUAAUUUUUGGUGUAGAAGCUAAAAAUAUUAAGUCUGUUCGACUUUUAAUUUUUUACAUGAUCUGAGUUUAAAUCGGCGUGAGCCAGAUUGGUUUCUAUCUUUAAUAAUUAAAUAUAUUUUAGUACGAAAGGACCAAAUAUUAAUAAAAUUUAUUAUUUUUUGAAUAU
rnacentral:rRNA from 1 species